rnacentral:rRNA from 1 species
UAGUUUGAUCCUGGCUCAGGACGAACGCUGGCGGCGUGCUUAACACAUGCAAGUCGAACGGUGAACCUCCUUCGGGAGGGGAUCAGUGGCGAACGGGUGAGUAACACGUGAGCAACCUACCCUUAGCUCUGGGAUAACCCCGGGAAACCGGGGCUAAUACCGGAUACGAGUCCGAGCGGCAUCGCUCGGGCUGGAAAGUUUUUCGGCUAGGGAUGGGCUCGCGGCCUAUCAGCUUGUUGGUGGGGUAGUGGCCCACCAAGGCGACGACGGGUAGCCGGCCUGAGAGGGCGACCGGCCACACUGGGACUGAGACACGGCCCAGACUCCUACGGGAGGCAGCAGUGGGGAAUAUUGCACAAUGGGCGCAAGCCUGAUGCAGCGACGCCGCGUGAGGGAUGAAGGCCUUCGGGUUGUAAACCUCUUUCAGCAGGGAAGAAGCGAAAGUGACGGUACCUGCAGAAGAAGCACCGGCUAACUACGUGCCAGCAGCCGCGGUAAUACGUAGGGUGCAAGCGUUGUCCGGAAUUAUUGGGCGUAAAGAGCUCGUAGGCGGUCUGUCGCGUCGGAUGUGAAAACCCAGGGCUCAACCCUGGGCCUGCAUUCGAUACGGGCAGACUAGAGUUCGGUAGGGGAGACUGGAAUUCCUGGUGUAGCGGUGAAAUGCGCAGAUAUCAGGAGGAACACCGGUGGCGAAGGCGGGUCUCUGGGCCGAAACUGACGCUGAGGAGCGAAAGCGU